rnacentral:rRNA from 1 species
ACGGAAGGCAGCAGUGGGGAAUAUUGGGCAAUGGGGGAAACCCUGACCCAGCAACGCCGCGCGAAGGAAGAAGGUCUUCGGAUUGUAAACUUCUUUUAUGGGGGACGAACAAAUGACGGUACCUCAUGAAUAAGCCACGGCUAACUACGUGCCAGCAGCCGCGGUAAUACGUAGGUGGCAAGCGUUAUCCGGAUUUACUGGGUGUAAAGGGCGCGUAGGCGGGAAGGCAAGUCAGAUGUGAAAUCCAUGAGCUCAACUCAUGAACUGCAUUUGAAACUGUCUCUCUUGAGUGUCGGAGAGGUAGAUGGAAUUCCUAGUGUAGCGGUGAAAUGCGUAGAUAUUAGGAGGAACACCAGUGGCGAAGGCGGCUUUCUGGACUGUAACUGACGUUGAGGCACGAAAGUGUGGGGAGCAAACAGGAUUAGAUACCCUGGUA